GGAAAUCUCACCAGGCCCGGACACUGGAAGGAUUGACAGAUUGAUAGCUCUUUCUCGAUUCGGUGGGUGGUGGUGCAUGGCCGUUCUUAGUUGGUGGAGCGAUCUGUCUGGUUAAUUCCGAUAACGAACGAGACCCCAACCUGCUAACUAGCCCUCGGGUCCUGCUUCUGUUGGGCCCGACGGAAUGAUUCGCUUCUUAGAGGGACUCGCGGCGCCUAGCCGCACGAAGGGGGGCAAUAA
rnacentral:rRNA from 1 species